UGGGGAAUUUUGCACAAUGGGGGAAACCCUGAUGCAGCGACGCCGCGUGAUUUAGAAGGCCUUCGGGUUGUAAAAAUCUUUUGUAUAGGAAGAAAAUGACAGUACUAUACGAAUAAGGACCGGCUAAUUACGUGCCAGCAGCCGCGGUAAUACGUAAGGUCCGAGCGUUGUCCGGAAUCAUUGGGCGUAAAGGGUACGUAGGCGGGUAAGCAAGUUAGAAGUGAAAUCCUAUAGCUCAACUAUAGUAAGCUUUUAAAACUGCUCAUCUUGAGGUAUGGAAGGGAAAGUGGAAUUCCUAGUGUAGCGGUGAAAUGCGCAGAUAUUAGGAGGAAUACCGGUGGCGAAGGCGACUUUCUGGCCAUAACCUGACGCUGAGGCUCGAAAGCGUGGGUAGCAAACAGG
rnacentral:rRNA from 1 species